rnacentral:rRNA from 1 species
UGGGGAAUUUUCCGCAAUGGGCGCAAGCCUGACGGAGCAAUACCGCGUGAGGGAGGAAGGCUUUUGGGUUGUAAACCUCUUUUCUCGGUGAGGAUGAUGACGGUAGCCGAGGAAUAAGCACCGGCUAACUCCGUGCCAGCAGCCGCGGUAAGACGGAGGGUGCUAGCGUUGUUCGGAAUUACUGGGCGUAAAGGGCGCGUAGGCGGCCUGCUGAGUUGGAUGUGAAAGCCCGGGGCUCAACCUCGGAAUUGCAUCCGAUACUGGCGGGCUCGAGACCGGGAGAGGAGGGUGGAAUACCCAGUGUAGAGGUGAAAUUCGUAGAUAUUGGGUGGAACACCGGUGGCGAAAGCGGCUCUCUGGCCCGGUUCUGACGCUGAGGCGCGAAAGCGUGGGGAGCAAACAGGAUUAGAUACCCGGGUAGUCC